rnacentral:rRNA from 1 species
GACGAACGCUGGCGGCGUGCUUAACACAUGCAAGUCGAGCGGUAAGGCCCUUUCGGGGGUACGACGAGCGGCGAACGGGUAGGAGUAACAACGUGGGUGGACCUCGCCCUCCAGCUCUGGGAGUAAGCCUCGGGAAACCGGGGUACGUAAUACUGGAUAUGACUCCAUGACGCAUGUUGUGGGGUGGAAAGACCUUGUGCGGCUGAGGAUGGGCCCGGCGGCCUAUCAGCUUGUUGGUGGGGGAUGGCCUACCAAGGCGACGACGGGUAGGCCGGCCUGAGAGGG